GUGGGGAAUAUUGGACAAUGGGCGCAAGCCUGAUCCAGCCAUGCCGCGUGAGUGAUGAAGGCCCUAGGGUUGUAAAGCUCUUUCACCGGAGAAGAUAAUGACGGUAUCCGGAGAAGAAGCCCCGGCUAACUUCGUGCCAGCAGCCGCGGUAAUACGAAGGGGGCUAGCGUUGUUCGGAAUUACUGGGCGUAAAGCGCACGUAGGCGGACAUUUAAGUCAGGGGUGAAAUCCCGGGGCUCAACCCCGGAACUGCCUUUGAUACUGGGUGUCUGGAGUAUGGAAGAGGUAAGUGGAAUUCCGAGUGUAGAGGUGAAAUUCGUAGAUAUUCGGAGGAACACCAGUGGCGAAGGCGGCUCACUGGCUCGAUACUGACGCUGAGGUGCGAAAGCGUGGGGAGCAAACAGGAUUAGAAACCCGAGUAGUCC
rnacentral:rRNA from 1 species